GGUUUCCGUAGGUGAACCUGCGGAAGGAUCAUUAACGAUUGCUGUAUACGCAAAGCAAAACGUCUAACGACGUUGUGUGUGUGUGUGGUUUUUGACUGGAUUUGAGGGUAAAACUCCUGACGAGUUCAGGAAGGAUGAUGCCUCUCACACAGGGGGAGGCCAUCGUGGUCGCCGUGCGUUCGCGCGCGCUGCGGACGAUGUAAAACAAACAACCGAUGGCCUCUCAUACAGUAUAAUAUCUCUCGCCAUGGUAUACAGGCCUGGCAUCUGGUACGAGUCUCUCGCAGUCUCAAAACCAACCUUACAACUCUGAGCGGUGGAUCACUUGGCUUGUGGAUGCUAUGAAGACCAUAGCUAAGUGUGAGAAUGGCAGCGAGCCGUCGCUAUAUGCGCUGUCCUCUUCUUAUCACAUGUCGAAUGCACAUUGCGCCCCACCCAGUGGUUGGCUAAACAACCUGCAGACAAAAGCCUGUUAGUUGGAACAAAGGCGAGUGUGUGGCCCUCGAGCAACGGCGGGGGAGCCAGGAGCACAUGAGCGUGCGGACCUUCUACUCGUGAGUAGUCAGGCUGACCCUAUGGUGGGGCACUCCUAGUCGAGUGUGGUGGAUCGGACUCAUCUCAUUCGCGCGUUUGCGUCUGAGCUUGAGUUUCUUUGUUGCUGGUGGCAUUUGGGUCGACAUCAGUCGUGCCCGUAAAAACCUGCCUUGGCUCGUGCCUCUGCACGUCGUAUUACCUUUAUGAAGGUGCGUGCAUUGAAAGGCCAUAGCUGGCGAUCACUCUUGCGGCCAGGGCAGUACCUCGGUACUGCGCAAAGGUCCAAAAGGAUAUGGUAUACGAGAACCGGGUCUUUAGUAGUCUAGCCCGCUUGCACUCGGGGAGUGGGUGGUGAUAUGGUGAUAUCCACUAAACGUUUCUCUGGUAAAGGUUCGUCUCUCUCUCGUAGUAUUCGAGAAUGACACGCCUUACUUCUUUCGUUCACACACAGGCUGGCAGACAAAUCAAAUCCUGACGAGAUCAGGACCGGUUUCUAACACAGUGUGAAGAGAGAGACAGAGAGGCUUGUGGGGACCGCUCCACUUUACGAUGAACUGGGUGUGACCGUUGGUAUGAUGAAGACCUCGGGGCUUGUGGAAUAUAUGCGAGAGCAGAGUCUUUAGUAGUCUAGCCCGCUUGCACUCGGGGAGUGGGUGGUGAUAUGGUGAUAUCCACUAAACGUUUCUCUGGUAAAGGUACGUCUCUCUCGUAGUAUUCGAGAAUGACACGCCUUACUUCUUUCGUUCACACACACAGGCACGCACAGACAGGCAGAUAAAGAAAAUCCUGACGAGCUCAGGACCGGAGGAGGACAGUGUGAACAAAGAGACAGAGAGGCUUGUGGGGACCGCUCCACUUUACGAUGAACUGGGUGUGACCGUUGGUAUGAUGAAGACUUUGCAAUCGCGGGAGUCGAGUCUUUAGUAGUCUAGCCCGCUUGCACUCGGGGAGUGGGUGGUGAUAUGGUGAUAUCCACUAAACGUUUCUCUGGUAAAGGUACGUCUCUCUCUCGUAGUAUUCGAGAAUGACACGCCUUACUUCUUUCGUUCACACACACAGGCACGCACAGACAGGCAGAUAAAGAAAAUCCUGACGAGAUCAGGAUCGGAGGACAGUGUGAACAAAGAGACAGAGAGGCUUGUGGGGACCGCUCCACUUUACGAUGAACUGGGUGUGACCGUUGGUAUGAUGAAGGCUUGGCUCUCCGUUAUCCGUUUGACUGCUGCCACCACCUCGACUUAGGAGAGGUUACCCGCUGAACUUAAGCAUAUCAGUAAGCGGAGGAAAAGAAACCAAUCAGGGAUUCCCUUAGUAGGGGCGACCGAACAGGGAUGAGCCCAGCGCAGAACCUCCCGGGCCACCCGGCCUGCGGCGGAAUGUUGCGUUAAGGGAAAGGUCGUAGUCAAACCCCACAGCCACGCGAGCUCUAAGUAAGUCACGAAUUGGCUAUCCCAACUAACGGCGGGAAAAUCUCCACGGAGGGUGUAAGACCCGUGUGGGCGCGUGUAAAUGCUGUGUGGGCUCGGCCUCUUUUCCCUGAGAGUCGCGUUGCUUGAGCAUGCAGCGCUAAGCAGGUCGUAAACUCGAUCUAAGGCUAAAUAUGUCCACAAGACCGAUAGCGAACAAGUACCGUGAGGGAAAGUUGAAAAGCACUCUGAAGAGAGAGUCAAAAGACC
rnacentral:rRNA from 1 species